UUUAUUGAUGUCUAUGAGAAGUUGUGCUUGCUGUUGGUGUUUUGCUCUGAAAUACUGUAGUUUCUAUGUAAAAGAAUGUUUAGAUUUUUUUUUUGAAAAG